GAUGAACGCUGGCGGCGUGCCUAAUACAUGCAAGUCGAGCGAACAGACGAGGAUCUUGCUCCUCUGACGUUAGCGGCGGACGGGUGAGUAACACGUGUAUAACCUACCUAUAAUACUGGGAUAACUUCGGGAAACCGGAUCUAAUACCGGAUAAUAUAUUGAACCGCAUGGUUCAAUAGUGAUAUACGGUUUUUCUGUCACUUAUAGAUGGAUCCGCGCCGCAUUAGCUAGUUGGUAAGGUAACUGCUUACCAAGGCAACGAUGCGUAGCCGACCUGAGAGGGGGAUCGGCAAAACUGGAAGUGAGACACGGUAAAGACUCCUACGGGAGGAAGCAGUAGGGAAUAUUCCGCAAUGGGCGAAAGCCUGACGGAGCAACGCCGCGUGAGUGAUGAAGGUCUUCGGAUCGUAAAACUCUGUUAUUAGGGAAGAAAAAAUGUGUAAGUAACUAUGCACGUAUUGACGGUAACUAAUCAGAAAGCAACGGCUAACUACGUG
rnacentral:rRNA from 1 species